UUUAGCGACGAAGGGCAGAGCUUUCUCCAGUCACCUCCAUGCUCAAAUGAGCCCCGCUUUGUGCUGGGCAAACUGGGGUCAGAUCAGAAAGUGUCCCUGCCCUCAAGAGCUGGACCCAGACCCAGGCAACUUGAAUGCCAGAUGAAGAUAUUCAGGAACCUGCAGAUUGCAAAAGGGACUUUGCAGAUGUGACUGAGUGAAGGAUCUUGAGACAAGAAGACUAUACAUGAUCAUCCAGGUGGGCCCUAGAUGUAAUCCCAAGGGCACUUACAAGAGGAAACAGAAGGGUCAGAGUCAGAAAAGGAGACUGGAGGAUGCUGUGCUGCUGGCUUUGAAGAUGGGGGAAGGGACCACCAGCCAAGGAAUGCAGGUGGCCUCUGGGCUGGAAAAGGCCAGGAGACGGGUCCUCCCUUGGACACUUCAAGAGGAAGACACCUUGAUUUUAGCCCAGGGAGACACAUUUGGGACUUCUGGCUUCUAGAACUGUAGGACAAUAAAUUUGGGUUGCUUUAAACCA